rnacentral:rRNA from 1 species
CCUACGUGGUGCAGCAGUGAGGAAUAUUGGUCAAUGGACGAGAGUCUGAACCAGCCAAGUAGCGUGAAGGAUGACUGCCCUAUGGGUUGUAAACCUCUUUUAUAUGGGAAUAAAAUGUUCCACGUGUGGGAUUUUGUAUGUACCAUAUGAAUAAGGAUCGGCUAAAUCCGUGCAAGCCGCCGCGGUACUACGGAGGAUCCGAGCGUUAGCCGGAUUUAUUGGGUUUAAAGGGAGCGUAGGUGGAUUGUUAAGUCAGUUGUGAAAGUGUGCGGCUCAACCGUAAAAUUGCAGUUGAAACUGGCAGUAUUGAGUACAGUAGAGGUGGGCGGAAUGCGUGGUGGAGCGGUGAAAUGCUUAGAUAUCACGAAGAACCCCGAUUGCGAAGGCAGCUCACUGGACUGCAACUGACACUGAGGCUCGAAAGUGUGGGUAUCAAACAGGAUUAGAUACCCCUGUAGUC